GCCUGGGUGGCUCAGUCAGUAAAGUAUCCAACUUCGGCUUAGGUCAUGAUCUCACAGUUCGUGGGUUCGAGCCCCACGUCAGGCU
rnacentral:tRNA from 1 species